UAACAGGCUCUGCGGGCCAAAAUGCAGCCUCCCGACUCGAUUCGAAAGAACGGUGCUCCGAAACCACGGACCCCGGUAGUUAGGCGAGCCAGCUCCAAACCAGCCCACCUCCGGGGGCCCAAGUCCCGGGCGACCAACAUGCUCCUCCCCUGGGUUCGACUCCAGACCUUGCUUUCCGGCUUCCCGGCGAAAGCCGACACUCCGGUUUCCGGAUUCCUGAAUCGACAGGGCCUGGCGGCGCCGCUUCUGGGAGGGCCGCGGGACUCAUCAGUGGAGAUUUCUCGACGGAUAAAUCGGCGUGUAUAUUUCCAUUCUGAGAGGGAUACUGAGGGAAGGAGGUUUACAGUGGCCGUCUGACUGCCCUUUUCCGAGACAGAAUCUCGUUUCCUGGGCCCUAAUUAUCCUCUGAGCUAUCAUAUCAAUUGGGACCCGCUGUCCCCCUCCUUGGCCCUCGUCUCCGUCUCCAUCAUCCCUCGACCCGAACCUUUCCUUCCCCCUCUUGGCUUUGAAGGAACCAUCGUGUGAGACUUCCAACUCCUCUGGCUGUUCUCUACGCUCCGAAGUCAGGCCGAGUUAGGCAACCGAAAUGAGGGAGAGAGGGUCUGUAACCCAGUCUUUCCAUCCCCGUGGCUUUUCUCAACCCAUUUACGACAGCCUUGCUUCAUUCUUAUCGAUGAUCUCGCCUCAGGACCGAUUUAAUAAAGUUCCUUGCUCUCACAGA